UUUGCUUUUUUUCUGGUCAAAAUUGUAGUUUAGAUUUUUUGUAAAAAUUCAAAAUUAAAAUUCAAUACAUUAAAUAUGCGUUCUUCACGCUGUACUGGUGAUUGCAUGAAUCCCUUUUAUGUUGGCCCCUAUCCGGAUAAGGCUUGCGGCAGUUGUCCUUAUGGCAUAUAUUCGGGAUUUAAUCCAUGCGGCUGGAGGUGCAAAUGUAAUGUUGAAAAGAAGCAGAAGGCUUUAACAAAAACCGCAAGCAAAACUAGCAAAACUGAACUCAAAGCUGUGGAUAAAGCUGAGAGUAAAGCUUUAGUCAAAACUGAGUGCAAGACUCUGAAUAAGACUGACAGCAAGGCGAUAAGUAAGGUUGAGAGUAAGAUGGAAAAUAAGGAGGAAAGUAAGAUAGAAAGCAAGACGGGUGGUAGUCAGAAGAACAGCAAAUCUGACCUAAAGGCUGCAAGCAAAAACAAGUUGACAUAGAAAAGAAGCAAAAAUAAAAAUGAUCGCUCAUUAUUGAAAUUAAUAAAUAUACUAAACUAGCUUCAUUUGAAUCAUGUUGGCUUUGUAGCAUUGCCUUCUGUUUGGCAUUUUAAUUUAUUUGACAAAAAAUUAAAAAUUCUAAAUUUUAUUGUUUGACUGACGCGAAGACUUUGGAGUUAAAGAGUAAACCAAAUUUGAAGCCAACCGCAAUGGAUGUGGCGCAUAAUAGUGUGGGAGUAGUUGGCACAGUGGCAUUUUUGUUGCUUCUGUCACAUACGACAACUAAGGUAAUGCUCAAGGCAUCGACGCCUCUCUGUGAAAUGGCAGGGCGAGCUUUGAUGGAGCCACGGGGUUAUGUGCAGAAAAUGCUGAUGAGUGCACCAAUGCGAAAUACUUGUUCGUUGGUCAAGAAAACGGGAUGUGGCCUUUAUAAUUUAGUCGAGAUCUUUGCCAACUCGAAUGUCAGAAGCAUGCCUAAUAUAAAGCCAAUGUAUAUGAGAAGUUUCCGCAAUUCAAUGCAUCCAUAUUAUUAUUAACUACAAUGGAACGUCGGCUGGAAUACAUUACGAGAUAAACCUUAACAACUCCAUUAAAACAUAUGGAAUAAUCAUCAGAGCAGCGAAAGUAACCCCAGUAGACUAUGAAGAAUCUGGGUUAUACCCUUAUUUUGAAUUUAUUUCAUUUGGAAGUCUCGUCUUGUAGGGAAUGAAUUAAUUUUCGGCUGGGUUGGCGAAAGUACAACCACGGAUAUUUUCAGCUCAAAAACGUGGAAUAUCUGGUAGAAGAGAUCUUUUUGUGCACUUUUCAAGGUUGCUAAAAUGCAUGUCAUUGUCCAAUUCAAUCCCUUCUAUAUUGGUCCAUGCCCACCUUGCCGUUUGGUCUAUGCUGACUGUGGAUCUUGUCGUCCAUGUGGAGGCUGCUGCUGCUCUAGUUCACCAUGCGGUUGGUGAAGUUAGCUAGCUGCUCCACAUGGGUUACUUCGGUAAAUAGUCUGCUGGUUGAGUUGCUUUGCAACUUUCGCUCUAUAUGAUUCUAUCUGUUCUAAACAAGUCUUCAAGUCGUUAAUUAUGUUUGUGAUAUUAAAUAGGGUUUGUUCUAUUUGAUAUCAUAAAUGUCAAUGGGCUGAUUGUAUUUGGUGGUUAUACAUACAUAUAUGCAAGACCAGUGAAAUUAUGUUUAAUGCUAAAUUCUCAAUAAAUUAAGAAUGCAAACACA